ACGGAUUUCACAGUGAGCGAACAGUCAACUGUUUUCAGAACCUGUUCGUUGUUGUUGAAAUUCGUUG
rnacentral:pre_miRNA from 1 species